CUAAAGCGGAUGACUCCGACUCCCUGAGAUCUCAGAACCCUGUCCCGAACUGCAGGGAUUCGGUGAUGGGACACAGAAUGUGAAGGUAUGACCAGCAGAGUGCAGCUGAAGCAGGACAGACUUGUAGGUAUUACUGAUUCCUCCAGCUGCUAGAGACGAUCAGAACAUGAGGAUGGAGAGACCAGCAAGUGUUGAGUCAGAGAAGGCCAGGUAGUGUUGUCUCUGGAGCUGGACUGGAGUUCUGUUUGGCUUUGGUGGCUUCGUGGACGGAGACAUCGGCUGAGCUAAAGCGGCUAACAACGCAACGUUUUCCGUCUCCUAUCAUAAACUUUGCUUUUCUUCAACAUGGAAAAUACUCCUACACAGUAGCUCUUUUUGUUAUUUUGACAUCAAUGCUUUCCUGGUGGCCAAUUGAUCCUCUUAACCACUGAAUAUAUCAGAACCACCUGGACUGAGCUGGUUUCGUCAGAGGGAGCUAAGACUUCUCGAUAAAAUGACUUCCCAUAUUUUAAGAUGUUCUUCUGGUAAAAUUACAUCUUUAUGAUUCUAAUAUGACUGCAUUCUCAUAAUUAAAAAUACUUGUAACCUGGUCAUAACACUCCAUUAUACAACUCACAAGAGGAAUGAUAGAAAUAAAGCCACUUUGUAAAAGUA